UGUGUGUGUGUGUGUGUGUGUGUGUAGGUCCCCGAAAUUGCGUCCUUCUGCGGAUUCGGUAUUUACAAUUCACACGGCUAAGCAAGUGUUGUCCAUGAAAAAAGCACUGUCGCGUCCUUCAAGACGGGAAGGUGUGAGGGGAGAAGGAAAAAAAAAAAAAAAAGAAAAAUCACAGCUCUCUUCUGCGCGAGUCAGGAAACUGUCAAGGCCAGCGGGAAGCGAACGCAGAUGGAGGAGAAAUGGACGGAUGGACGUGGUGGCGAGCGUUCAGGGAUGGAUGCAAAAGCGAGGAGACGGGAGAUGGUGGAGGUCAUCGCUGUGUCUAACGCCAACACCCACUGCACAACACUUGUGUGUGUGUGUCUGUCGUGAGAGCUGUGAGAAAAAGGUCACGUCUGGUCGUAGUCAGGAGUCUCUCAUAUGCACUGGAUCAGCCGUGGCAGAGG